AUCCAAUAAUAUUCUUACACGUAUUUUCCUUUAUUUUAGUACAAAUAUGAUGGAACAGUUACAGGGAAAUUUCCUUCAAGUUUCAUUUCUCUCUAUUGUGGAAACUUCGCAGUUCUGCAUUUUCAUUCGGGUGUAACAGAAACACAAAAUAUUUGUGCAUUAAAUGUUGUAAAAAUUCAUAGCCGGUGAGUUUUGUCUCUUACUCAAGCGCUCUUAAGUGAAAUAGUUUUGAGAUUUUCGAGUUUUGAUUCAUUUUUCGAAGUUAUGUGCAUGUAUCGGAUGUUAAUUUGCGGAGAUAUCUAAGCGAUGUUCAUAUCUACUGCAUAUUUGACAGAAAAUCGAGAAUGAGGAACGAAGAGCGAAAUACGUCGCCGUACGGGCGUCAAGAGAAUGAUCUUGAAAUGGGUACCAGUAGCACCGACUUCCAUGAUGAUGACGAAGUAGGUUCUGGACCGUUUGAUAUAGUUCGAACCAAAAGUGCUCCAGUCGAUCGGUUGCGUAGAUGGAGGGUAAGUUAUUCACACCUUUAUUUUUUCAUUUUCU
rnacentral:lncRNA from 1 species